rnacentral:rRNA from 1 species
CGGGUGAGUAAUGUCUGGGAAACUGCCCGAUGGAGGGGGAUAACUACUGGAAACGGUAGCUAAUAUCGCAUAAUGUCUGCGGACCAAAGAGGGGGACCUUCGGGCCUCUUGCCAUCGGAUGUGCCCAGAUGGGAUUAGCUAGUAGGUGGGGUAACGGCUCACCUAGGCGACGAUCCCUAGCUGGUCUGAGAGGAUGACCAGCCACACUGGAACUGAGACACGGCCCAG